UAAGACGAACCGUGCGAACGUUGUUCGGAAUCACUGGGCUUAAAGGGCGCGUAGGCGGGCGGCCGCGUCCGGGGUGAAAUCCCACGGCUCAACCGUGGAACGGCCUCGGAUACGGGCGGCCUCGAGGGGGGUAGGGGCAUCUGGAACUGUGAGUGGAGCGGUGAAAUGCGUUGAUAUUCACAGGAACUCCGGUGGCGAAGGCGAGGUGCUGGACCCCAUCUGACGCUGAGGCGCGAAAGCCAGGGGAGCGAACGGGAUUAGAUACCCCGGUAGUCCUGGCCCUAAACGAUGGGUACUAGGUAGUAGGCCGGACAUGGGCUUACUGCCGGAGCGAAAGUGCUAAGUACCCCGCCUGGGGAGUAUGGUCGCAAGGCUG
rnacentral:rRNA from 1 species